rnacentral:rRNA from 2 species
AAAGAUUUAUCGGCUUAAGAUGAGCCCGCGUUGGAUUAGCUAGUUGGUGGGGUAAAGGCCUACCAAGGCGACGAUCCAUAGCUGGUCUGAGAGGAUGAUCAGCCACACUGGGACUGAGACACGGCCCAGACUCCUACGGGAGGCAGCAGUGGGGAAUAUUGGACAAUGGGCGGAAGCCUGAUCCAGCCAUGCCGCGUGAGUGAAGAAGGNCUUAGGGUUGUAAAGCUCUUUCACCGGUGAAGAUAAUGACGGUAACCGGAGAAGAAGCCCCGGCUAACUUCGUGCCAGCAGCCGCGGUAAUACGAAGGGGGCUAGCGUUGUUCGGAUUU